rnacentral:rRNA from 1 species
GACGAACGCUGGCGGCGUACUUAACACAUGCAAGUCGAACGGAAAGGCCCUGCUUUUGUGGGGUGCUCGAGUGGCGAACGGGUGAGUAACACGUGAGUAACCUGCCCUUGACUUUGGGAUAACUUCAGGAAACUGGGGCUAAUACCGGAUAGGAGCUCCUGCUGCAUGGUGGGGGUUGGAAAGUUUCGGCGGUUGGGGAUGGACUCGCGGCUUAUCAGCUUGUUGGUGGGGUAGUGGCUUACCAAGGCUUUGACGGGUAGCCGGCCUGGGAGGGUGACCGGCCACAUUGGGACUGAGAUACGGCCCAGACUCCUACGGGAGGCAGCGGUGGGGAAUAUUGCACAAUGGGCGGAAGCCUGAUGCAGCAACGCCGCGUGCGGGAUGACGGCCUUCGGGUUGUAAACCGCUUUCGCCUGUGACGAAGCGUGAGUGACGGUAAUGGGUAAAGAAGCACCGGCUAACUACGUG